rnacentral:rRNA from 1 species
GACAGAGGGUGCAAACGUUGUUUGGAAUUACUGGGCGUAAAGCGCGUGUAGGCGGCUCGAUAAGUCGGAUGUGAAAGCCCUGGGCUCAACCUAGGAAGUGCAUUCGAAACUGCUGAGCUUGAGUUCUGGAGAGGAAGGCGGAAUUCUCGGUGUAGAGGUGAAAUUCGUAGAUAUCGAGAGGAACACCGGUGGCGAAGGCGGCCUUCUGGACAGCAACUGACGCUGAGACGCGAAAGCGUGGGGAGCAAACAGG